ensembl:lncRNA
GGGCUGAAGACUCGGAGGCUGGACCAGACGGGGCUGAAGACUCGGAGGCUGGACCAGACGGGGCUGAAGACUCGGAGGCUGGACCAGACGGGGCUGAAGACUCGGAGGCUGGACCAGACGGGGCUGAAGACUCGGAGGCUGAUGAGGCUGCAGGCGACGGCGUGGAAGCCGGAGACGAAGGCGCUGCAGGCGACGGCGUGGAAGCCGGAGACGAAGGCGCUGCAGGCGACGGCGUGGAAGCCGGAGACGAAGGCGCUGCAGGCGACGGCGUGGAAGCCGGAGACGAAGGCGCUGCAGGCGGCGGCGUGGAAGCCGGAGACGAAGGCGCUGCAGGCGGCGGCGUGGAAGCCGGAGACGAAGGCGCUGCAGGCGGCGGCGUGGAAGCCGGAGGCGGUGGCGCUGCAGGCGGCGGCGUGGAAGCCGGAGGCGGUGGCGCUGCAGGCGGCGUGAAUGAAGAGGCUGCAGCUGGCGUGGAAGCCAGAGACGGAGGCGCUGCAGGCGGCGGCGUGGAAGCCGGAGG